AGGCUGUCAGUACCCGAUCCGUGCCGCCUGCCCGAACUGUUUUGAGCUUGCGCAUAAUUAUGCGCAUGCGCAGAAGCUCUACGUGUUUUACGACAGUUUACGACCCUACCUGAUCUGUUCUACGCAUGCGCGACAACCGGAGUUUAAAAAUAGUGAAGAAAUGCGUCAUAUAACAACACUGGCGAACAUAUGGAGGCUAAGUAAUUUGUAUAAAGGACCAACAUGGACCAGUAUUUAUUUCAUGCUGCCCUUCGGCAGUACCUACUAAGUGGGAUGUCGAUGUCGCGGUUGACUGGAAGAGAGUCAUGCGGGUGGCCAACCACUUCGUUGUAGAUGAUUUGUCCAUGCUGAUGGCCAUGCAGCAUAGUUGAAGCAGACCUGUCAGAAAACAUGUCUAAGGUGCUAUGAAUCCUAUGACUAGAUACGCAUCCUAAAAUUACUAGAGGUUACGGAAGCUCCUUUUUGGAUCCAGCUUCAUUUGUGAAGACUUCAGAUGAUGCCAACACUCACAGAGACUUAAGACGAUGGCAACAAUAGAUGAAGCAACACUCACAAAGACUUUAGAUGAUGGCAACUAUAGAUGGACAUACAAAAUUGCCAAAUUUUGGGCUCUAUUUUAACGAUCUAAGCGCAUUGUCUAAAGCGCACAGCGCAACGUCUAAAUGGGCUUGUCUGAAUCCACUUUUGCUAAUUUAACGACGGGAAAAAUGGUUUGUGCGCUGAGCGCAUGGUCGAAAAGGGUUGGUCCUUCUUUUUUAAUGAGUAAUGGGAGUAUUUUGGGCGUCAUGUGCAAUAAACCAAUGAGAGUCUCAGCUCUCAUCCCCUUUAAAAGCAAGUUGCGCUGGCACUAUGUCUAAUAUCUAUUUAGAUGAUCGACUUUGUAAACCGAAAAACCAAAUGGACGAAGAAGAUCCCCAGUUUAGGAUUAAUGUUAAAUAAUUGUUUUGUUUUCACGUGCAUUGAAAUUGUUAUUUUUUAUUAAAACCUUUAAAACCCGUUUUCUUUAAGUCAUGGAAGUAAAAAGCAGGCUUUUAAUUGUUUGAAAUGUAUGGCUAUCCAAUCAUCAAAAAAUAAUUUACAAGUAUGUAAGAAAAGGUUUGUACUCUAAAAAUACUUUAUUUGUAACAAACAGGAGAUAAAGAAUUUAAAAACGGCUCUCUGCACAUUUCAGCACUUUGACAGCGUAAGCAUUACUUAAAAAUGUUUCUCAUCUCACCAUAUCCACAGAGUCAUCAUAUACAAUAAAUCCGUGAGGUAGCAUUAAAAAAAAAAAAAAAAAAACAUUUAAAAACAGAUGCAUUUGUUUAAAGCCAAGCAUUUAUUUACUUCCCAGGCAACAGGUGAAGCAGCUCUUUGCGCCGUCUAACAUCUCAUAAUUAGUCCUCAUUUAUGUCCAAGAGAUUCAAUAAUAAUCUUUUACAUUCAAUCCUUUAAUCUUUCAUAUUUAAAAGCGUUUUUGUGCUGCUGCCAUUCAUGUAUGUGAUAAGCAAACCCGCGUUGUCGUCCCGUAUGUCCCGUUUAUAGGUGUAUAUUACUAAUGCGCUCUUUAAAUAACAAAAAACACUAUUGCGCCAUUGACUUUAGACUUUAGACCAGGUUUUUGUUGGUCAAUGGCGUAGUCUAUUUAAGUUGCCUCAAAAUAGCAACGCGCCAACAAUGCGCCUGAACACACCUCGUUUUCAGACCAGAACGCCUAUGGGCGCAAAAGGGGGCGCAAAUGCAUUUGCUAUUUAAACAACGUGGCGCUUAACGUGAAAAUGAUCAUUGCGCAGGGUGGAAACUAGCAAAAGACACUUGCGUCGCGCAUUGCGCUGCAUUGCGCCGGGUGUAAGAUAGAGCCCAUAAUAUUGUAAUUACUGCCCCAAAGCGCAAGUUUGCAGAUUUUUAACCCACUUUAUAUUGUUACAAAUACAAUAGAUGCUAACAUUUGAACAGAAAAUGUUUCCUCUUUAUUCUUGAGUUAAUUGUGCUGAUUUAUUCCCUUUUUUUUAUCCACAGUACUUUGCCAAAAUGAUGUUUUGCAUCAUCCAAAUGGUUCAUUUACAAAUUACAGACAUUGUAACAACACAAAGUGGGUUGAAAUUCUGCCAACUUACCCUAUAAUAAUAAUAAUUGUCUUUUAACUGAACAUGACUUUAAACACAUGACUUGUAUUAUCUUAGAGCUAUUGUGAUAUUAAUAUUGUUUUGUUUCCAGAAUAUUCUCCUCAGUGAGUCACUGUUACUCGGACUGAUUAAGGGAUUUUUUGUAACCUUGAAACAUGCAUUGGUUUUACUAUGGGCAAACUGCAGAUCUUAUUUCAAGGUUUUGUUACCAUGGUUCUACUACAGUAACAAUAUUGAAAUGCUGGAAUGAAACUGUGGUAACCAUAUUAUUUUAAAUCAAGGUAAAUUUGUGGUUACUAAAAUGCACUACUAUAUGUUGGUUUAAGAGCAUGAUUAUUUUUUUAUGUAUUAAUAAACCAUGGUUGAUUUUAUAUUUACCGUGGUUUUACUGCAAAUUAUGGUAAAAAAUUAUAGAAAACUUUUGCAUGGAGACAGAAAAAAAGUGUAAACUGAAUGUUUCUAUUCGUAAGUCACGUUGGUUAAAUGCAUCUGAUAAAUGUAAAUGGAUUUGUAUAUUUAUUCUGUUUACUGAAACUAAUAAAUUUGCAGUUGCUAUUGUA